rnacentral:rRNA from 1 species
UACAGAGGUCCCAAGCGUUGUUCGGAUUCAUUGGGCGUAAAGGGUGCGUAGGCGGCGCGGUAAGUCGGGUGUGAAAUCUCGGGGCUUAACUCCGAAACUGCAUUCGAUACUGCCGUGCUUGAGGACUGGAGAGGAGACUGGAAUUUACGGUGUAGCGGUGAAAUGCGCAGAUAUCAGGAGGAACACCGGUGGCGAAGGCGGGUCUCUGGGCCGAAACUGACGCUGAGGAGCGAAAGCGUGGGGAGCGAACAGG